rnacentral:siRNA from 1 species
UUGUGUGCUCUACUCGAUCUAC